ACAUUUUUUAUCCUUUUCAUUAUUUUUCUGUAGUAUUACCCAGGGUGUUACUGGUAAUUCGACAAUCAACUUGGACCACCCAAUACAAAGCGGGUUCCGACCCGAUAUCAAAUACUGUUGUUUCACUGAAGAAUUUCUCAAAGAUCCGAACAUCGGCGGGCGACCCAUCACUUUUUUGAAUUUGUCAGUUUGUUUCGUGGAGCCAUAAUUUCAGGGGAAGUUUCCUCCAUCGACUUCACUUCGUCGUUAACUGCUGACAACGAAUAUCUCCUCUGUGCUGUGCUUUCUUCACAUUCCGAGAUUUGAAACCAACGGUGGCCAUGGAUUUUGGUCAUAAGCGCACCCCAUUGGGUGUGGUUUCUCCUUCGUCCAUUCCUACUGGUAGGCAUAAUCCUGAUAUGUUUUCUGUCCAGUGCACUGACUGAGUGUUUUGGGGUAUUCUCAGCACAGCGGAGGCGAUCUUCGCAUUAUAGACCUUCUCCGUCGCAUGACGUGUGGACAUAUGCUAAUGAGUCAUCUGCGUCGCGUGAAAAUGUCGAUCCUAACGGAGCCAGCCGAAUGGAUCGUGAUAUUCGUACAUAAUUUCUUCAGCGACUAUGGUUCUGAAGCGAUUAGAUUUAUUACUUGAAGCAUAUAACAAGACUGUGCCAGUUUCACGAUUUGAAACUCCCACUCCUGCCAAUAACUCUCCCAGCUGUCCACACAUGGUUCAGGUACAAAUACUCUUAGCUCAGUACAUUACUACAUAUCCUCACUCAGUAGAUUCUUUGCACAAGAUUGAGACAGAUAUUUCUACCAACUAUUAUGUGACAGAUGUUAUGACUGUGAUGUUAGGUUCUGCAAACACACGUGCUACACCAAAUAGACCCUUUGAUCAGAGUCAUGUAUUUAGAUUACUGCCUCAAACACAUGGAGAUUGCAGGACACACGGUUCAGAUCAGACACAAAACUCUUCGAGUCAGUUGACACAGAGUAGUCAUCAAACACCUUUCAGAGGCAAAUGCGGAUCUAGGAAGAGACACGGGGGGACACGUGUACCCCCUAAUUUUUUAUUAUUUUUUUUUACAUUUUUUCACCAUUCUAAAUUUUGCAAAAUUCUAAAAGUGCCCCCAAAAAAUUUAAAAAUAUAUAGGUGUUUUCCGAAAAUUUGCUUCGUGCCCCCCUAUGCUUAGUGUGCUAGAUCCGCCCCUAAUCAGAGGUAUGUGAUUUUGUGGUUUUUCCAAAUUAUUCAUGUAAAUGUUAACUGGAAGUAUGUUCCAACAUAACAUAAGCUACUCAGACUCGAGGUACUGGUCGAAUCGAUGGACUCGACGUCCCUACUAAGACAUAUGGUCCUUUUCCCAAAUAGUUGUACUUUAGUGUCGAAUCAGUUCAAUGAUCAAUGCUUUGCGGUUUGUUCAGUCAUCCUGUUUGUUUGUUGCUUAUGACAUUUAAUAUUUAAGAACUAUCUAUUUGCAGAAAUGAUAUGCUGUUGUGAAUAGCAAAACAGGAUCUGCAGGUUCACUGCAUAUCUGCAGGUUAUAAGAUCAAGUGUAACCAGUUUCUAAUUCUUUCAUCUGCAGCUUAGAACAUGAUUUAAGUUUAUAACCUUUUAUUUCGCAUUUAAUACUUCUGCCAGAAGGAAAAUUAUUAUUUGUUUCAUUUGUCUUGGUGCUGAUCCUCCAAUGUUCAGGAAUUGAUUUUGCAUGCACUUCAUUGACCUAAGCUUUUGUCCAGACCUGCUUUUUUAAGAGUACAAUGCAGACAUAAUGAGAUUAUGAUCAGUUUUGAUUUAUUUUGAGUUGUUCUCACUAAUAACAUUUCACUGAUUUCACUGAUGAUCAUGUGCAACUAUAUAUCUAAUAAACUAAUCGGGUUAUAUCUGGUUGAAAAUUUAAAAUUUGACAGUAGUUACAAGUACCAUGAUUAUUGUAACAAACUUCUCUUUCAUUCUUUUUCUGUUUGCAGAGGUCCUUCGGAGUGAUUUCAGUUUUUUCAUCACUGAUCUAAUCAUAACGCAUAAAUCUAAUAGCUCCAUCGUUCCAUGGACGAUAAAGGCUGUAAGCACAUAUCUUUGGGACAUGAUUCUCCUUCGACGCGUGAUGGUGAACAACUGAACAUACCUUCAUGGUAAUCUGUAUGUUGUUCUAAACUUAAGAUUCCUCCUAUAAGGUCUUUGUAUGUAAAAUUUUUUUACAAUUAAAUACAUGUUUUAAGAAAACGCCUACUUCUACUAUUGUGCCCAUUAUUUAGUUAGAUCCUCUUUCUGGCGAAUCACAGGAUUCAGGUUAUAUUAUAUUCACUGAAGAUAUUGGUCUGUGUUUCAUAGGUAUAUGACCAGUUUUGUCAAUUUUAAUGUUAAUGCAUUCUCAGCAUUUAAUGGUUUUCAUGGGAGAAAAAGUUUUAACACCCAGGUUUAUUUCUGGUGCCACACAAACAUCAAGUGAGAUUGAUAAU